rnacentral:rRNA from 1 species
UGGGGAAUUUUGGACAAUGGGCGCAAGCCUGAUCCAGCAAUGCCGCGUGAGUGAAGAAGGCCUUCGGGUUGUAAAGCUCUUUUGUCAGGGAAGAAACGGUGAGUUCUAAUACAGCUUGCUAAUGACGGUACCUGAAGAAUAAGCACCGGCUAACUACGUGCCAGCAGCCGCGGUAAUACGUAGGGUGCAAGCGUUAAUCGGAAUUACUGGGCGUAAAGCGUGCGCAGGCGGUUUUGUAAGUCUGUCGUGAAAUCCCCGGGCUCAACCUGGGAAUUGCGAUGGAGACUGCAAGGCUAGAGUUUGGCAGAGGGGGGUAGAAUUCCACGUGUAGCAGUGAAAUGCGUAGAUAUGUGGAGGAACACCGAUGGCGAAGGCAGCCCCCUGGGUCAAAACUGACGCUCAUGCACGAAAGCGUGGGGAGCAAACA